GCGCUCCCUUCGGCAGCACAUAUACUAAAAUUGGAAUGAUACAGAGAUUAGUAUGGCCUCUGUGCAAGAAUGACACACAAAUUCGUGAAGCGUUCCAUAUAUAU